rnacentral:rRNA from 1 species
ACAUGCAAGUCGAGCGGUAACAGGAGAAGCUUGCUUCUCGCUGACGAGCGGCGGACGGGUGAGUAAUACUUAGGAAUCUACCUAGUAGUGGGGGAUAGCUCGGGGAAACUCGAAUUAAUACCGCAUACGACCUACGGGAGAAAGGGGGCAACUUGUUGCUCUCGCUAUUAGAUGAGCCUAAGUCGGAUUAGCUAGAUGGUGGGGUAAAGGCCUACCAUGGCGACGAUCUUAGCUGGUCUGAGAGGAUGAUCAGCCACACCGGGACUGAGACACGGCCCGGACUCCUACGGGAGGCAGCAGUGGGGAAUAUUGGACAAUGGGGGCAACCCUGAUCCAGCCAUGCCGCGUGUGUGAAGAAGGCCUUUUGGUUGUAAAGCACUUUAAGCAGUGAAGAAGACUCCAUGGUUAAUACCCAUGGACGAUGACAUUAGCUGCAGAAUAAGCACCGGCUAACUCUGUGCCAGCAGCCGCGGUAAUACAGAGGUGCAAGCGUUAAUCGGAAUUACUGGGCGUAAAGCGAGCGUAGGUGGCUUGAUAAGUCAGAUGUGAAAGCCCCGGGCUUAACCUGGGAACGGCAUCUGAUACUGUUAGGCUAGAGUAGGUGAGAGGAAGGUAGAAUUCCAGGUGUACGGUGAAAUGCGUAGAGAUCUGGAGGAAUACCGAUGGCGAAGGCAGCCUUCUGGCAUCAUACUGACACUGAGGUUCGAAAG